CUAUUUUGUCCUAACAUUAAAGACUGGGUGUAUAAAUAUUCUAAUUAGCAACAAAUAAUGCUUUUGUCCAAAUCAAUUUGUUAGUGUGGAAAGAGGUGAACGAUCCACAAAAGGCAGUACAGCUGUUCCUCAAACAACUGAAACAAGGAGGAAAGCAGCAGGGGACUCUCAUACUCACCCUGGAUGCUACGGACAGUGACGAGGAGCGAGCUAUGUCACUCAUUUCAUUCUACAAGCAUAACCGUGACAAGAUGCAAUGGGCAGCUCCUUUUCGCUGUCGCAUUCAAGGAGAUGCAGCAGUUGGUAGAGGUGUGACAAGACACAUCAUCUCAUCUGCCAUUACCAAACUGAAAAGGGGAUUUAAAAUGAACUUUGGAAAUGCUGCAGCAACUGCAAUGUUUGAAGGGGAAACUGAUCAUCUUGUACCAACCACAUCAGCAGUGCUUGUUGAGAGUGAGCUUUUUGUGAUGGCUGGUCGGCUGAUUGGCCACUCAGUAAUUAACGGAGGCCCAGCCCUGUCAGGGCUCAG